ACCACCCCACCAGCAGGCGGCGGAAACACAAGCAGCUCAAGUACAACUGCAGUCACAACCACCCCACCAGCAGGCGGAGUCACCACCGGUCAGAGUACAACAACCACAGCCUUAGCAACACAAGCAUCCACCACCAACAGCGGAACACAACCUGCAAGACACAGUCCACAGUCCAUCGUCCUGACUGCCCUGUUGACAGCCAUGUUGCAACGUUUGCACCAUUUUCUCUGAAGGGUUUUUCGGAUGUUUGUCACUAAUGAUUUUAAUUUAAGUAAUUUUUCCAACUUGAGUGGGGACAAUCUUAAUAUUUUCUUGUAACUUUUGCUUCACUGUACGUUUGUGUAACAAUGUAACUGAGCAAUCACACAAUACAAAAAUAUAAGAUCAUGAGUUUUGAUAGUUUAUAUGGUUAUUGUGUGUUGGGGUCUUGAAAAACUGUAAAAUCAUUUAAUGCUACAAAUAUAAUACAUGCCAACAGUAAAUCAUCAGAAUGCAUUUUU